GAGGUAAAAGUUUUUUCUGCUGCACUCAUAAUCAUCCCAGUCUCAAACGUCUCCGUUCCUUCGCUUUCAGAUUCAUCUUCUCUCUUUUCUAUUAUUGGUUCACUUUAUCAUGCAUAUUGCAGAAGACAACAGUGGUUAAUUUUGAAGAGGGAUCAUCUUCAUCUUCCAUGAAGCUUACUAUGGCAUAAUUUGAAAGAUUCUUCCGAGCUUCCUGGCACGUUUGGUUCCCUACUGCCCAGUCGAACAUCACAGGAAACUCCUCCUUCUCCAACUUGAGGAGGUCUGUGGAUUUGAACUUGUAGGCUCCAUUUUCAACCAAAAAAGCAUAACCACAUGGAUUGAAGUCAUGCACUGCUGAGUGAUUGUUGAAUACGCCUAAAGAAAGAUAUAUUACUUUCAUUAACACAUGACCUUGGGGUAUUGGAAUCUCGCAACAACCAGUGCCAGAGCAAGAUUCAUGGGCCACAAUAUCAUUAAGCUUGUUGCACAGAGCCACACAUGCUGCGGUGUAAUUGUUUCCCCCAGAAUCAUAUGCUACGAGUCCUCCAGACGUGUCACAGCCAACUGCGAUGAAUUUGUUUCGAGUUGACGAGAUGUGGAAAUGUGCUGUGUUGACAGUCCCAUAUGUUUGGUUCACAAGUUUGCUGUUUUCAGCGUAGCAAUCUCUGGCUACUGGCCAUGCAACAUGCAGUUCGCCGUCGAGUGAGAUGUUUAAGACAAUUCUCUUACUAUGUGGCAAGUAGGGUACAUGUGUCGAGGUUGAAGAUGUAGAUGUUUUGUUGCAAUUGAUGAGAAAGGUGUUGUCCAAGGAACAACCCUUGGUGGUUCCAAAUGGGAAUGGAAUGGUGACAGAGCCACACUUUGUUGGGCAGUUAGGCAGAGAUAGUAACUGAGAUGCUACUUUUGAUAAAAAGACCGUAACAACCACCAGAAACAGCAGGUGUUUUGAGUGCAAAACCAUGAGCAUGGAUUUGCUAAUUUUUCAGGUUCAUGCAGAGGACAACAGUGGAUGUUUAUGAAUGUAGGAGAUCAUUUUCAUCUCACAGGAAGCUUGCUAUGGCAUAAUUUGAAAGAUCCUUCUGAGCUUGCUGGCAUGUUAGGUUCCCUACUGCCCAGUUCAACAACACUGGAAACUCCUCCUUCUCCAACUUGAGAAGGUCUGUGGAUUCGAAGCUGUAGGCUCCAUUUUCA